GCACAGUGCAAAGGCCUUGGGGUCAAUCCCUAGUAACCCGCGCGCGCGUGCACACACAACUUCAAAAAAAAGAGUACCCAAAGCAGGGAUUUGUCUAUGUUCCUCUGGCUAAUCCUUCAGUAACAAGCAGAGGCCUAGGGCCUUCGUGGAUGCCCAUUUGAGCUGGCCAAGGAAGAGCUCCUUUUAACAAGAGAGUAUCAGAAGUCCAAGCCUGGCAUCUUCCAACCUUUAUCCUGAAUCCUGCCUGCACUCAAGCCUGUCCAGUUGCAUCAGUGGAAGUUACUAUGACAACCAAACCUACAGGCAGCCAAUAACUGGAAAACAGAUGCCCACAGUACUGGACAGUAUGUAGAAAAGGGCAAGAGCAGAGGAAGAAGGGCAAAGCUCAAACCUUGUGAAGGCACAGCCUCCCACUUUACCAAUGUCUUAUGUCUUCUGGCUUUGGGGGAGUUUCAGCCUCUUCCCUGACCAAGGGACUACUUCUCUAAGCCACUCCGACUUCCCACCAUACUCCUGGAACCUGCUCAUCACCUGACCACCUCUGCAUGGAAAACCCUCCUAGGAUUUAGUACCACCAGUUCCAGCUUAGAAGUGCUCCUACCCAGGCAUGGUGGUGCACACCUGUAAUCCCAGCACUUGGGAGGCUGAAGAAGGGUCACCAAGAGUUUGAAGCCAGCCUGGGAUACACAGUGAGACCUUGUCUCAAAAGAAAAACAAAAAAAUGCUCAUGAAUUACUAGUUGGCAGGAGGAAUUGGGGAAGCGAGUCAUUCUUUGGCCUCACACAAGCCGUCCUUUCUACACAGUGGCUCUACCAUGAAGCCACUGCCUUUGGUGCAAGAGGUCUGACCUAUUUUAACAAUAAUACAUGCUCGAGGAGCAGUUAAUGUCAA